AUUGAACGCUGGCGGCAGGCCUAACACAUGCAGGUCGAGCGGAUGAAGGGAGCUUGCUCCUGGAUUCAGCGGCGGACGGGUGAGUAAUGCCUAGGAAUCUGCCUGGUAGUGGGGGAUAACGUCCGGAAACGGGCGCUAAUACCGCAUACGUCCUGAGGGAGAAAGUGGGGGAUCUUCGGACCUCACGCUAUCAGCUGAUCCUAGGUCGGAUUAGCUAGUUGGUGGGGUAACGGCCUACCAAGGCGACGAUCCGUAACUGGUCUGAGAGGAUGAUCAGUCACACUGGAACUGAGACACGGUCCAGACUCCUACGGGAGGCAGCAGUGGGGAAUAGUGGACAAAGGGCGAAAGCCUGAUCCAGCCAUGCCGCGUGUGUGAAGAAGGUCUUCGGAUUGUAAAGCACUUUAAGUUGGGAGGAAGGGCAGUAAGUUAAUACCUUGCUGUUUUGACGUUACCAACAGAAUAAGCACCGGCUAACUUCGUG
rnacentral:rRNA from 1 species